ACCCGCACAAGCAGCGGAGCGUGUGGUUUAAUUCGAGGCUACACGAAGAACCUUACCAGGGUUUGACAUGCAAGUGGUAGGAAUCCGAAAGGUGACCGACCCUUCGGGGAGCUUGCACAGGUGCUGCAUGGCUGUCGUCAGCUCGUGUCGUGAGAUGUUCGGUUAAGUCCGCUAACGAGCGCAACCCUCGUCGUGUGUUAUACGUGUCACACGAUACUGCCGGUAUCAAGCCGGAGGAAGGUGGGGAUGAUGUCAAGUCAGCAUGGCCUUUAUAUCCUGGGCUACACACACGCUACAAUGGCAGAUACAAUAGGUUGCGAAACCGCGAGGUGGAGCCAAUCCUCAAAGUCUGUCUCAGUUCAGAUUGUAGGCUGCAACUCGCCUGCAUGAAGUUGGAGUUGCUAGUAAACGCAGGUCAGCUAUACUGCGUUGAAUACGCUCCCGGGGUUU
rnacentral:rRNA from 1 species